GAAAAAUAUUGUGAAGCUUGAUUAAUUUUUUGCCAGGUAACGUAGGUGACACUUUGAGGGAGGUGGGUGGUUGUUGGAAAGGUCACUUCGUCCAGGCUCCAGAGGCUUAAAUGAAACGUACAUUUAAUGCUUUCUUUGAAGUUUUGAACUGAAAUAGAAUCGGCGCUAGCUACUUUCUCUGUAUCCCUACGUGAAGCAAUCAAAUUGCACAAAUUAAUUGAUUGGAUGAUUAAUUGAUCACCAUCCUUACCUCUCUCUUGACCGGGCUGUCUGGCACUAAUUUACAAGUUCACAUGGUUGGAGUUUGGAAUUUAGUGUGUGUACUACAAUCUCAGAUAAUUAGAUGGAUUAGUUGGUUGACAUGUGGUUAUCGAUCAGCUCCCGGGAUUGCUGGCAUGUUUUAUAGCCUAAAUAAAUGAAGUAUUGACUAAUGCCUACAGUUGAAAAAGGAAUGAAACUAUCACUAUAUGUGCCUUUUGUCUUUUGGGCUAAAUGUAAGUAGAAGCACUGCAGACAAGAUAUAUAUAGGCCCAUGUUAAUGAGUAUGUGCAGCUGGACACAGCACUGCAAUUUGCCAAUGAUCUCUUUACAAAAUAAAAAAGGCCUCCGAAUCAGGCUUCACCUUCUUCUUGUUUUA